GACGAACGCUGGCGGCGUGCUUAACACAUGCAAGUCGAACGGAAAGGCCCUGCUUUUGUGGGGUGCCCGAGUGGCGAACGGGUGAGUAACACGUGAGUAACCUGCCCCUGACUUUGGGAUAACUUCAGGAAACUGGGGCUAAUACCGGAUAGGAGCUCCUGCUGCAUGGUGGGGGUUGGAAAGUUUCGGCGGUUGGGGAUGGACUCGCGGCUUAUCAGCUUGUUGGUGGGGUAGUGGCUUACCAAGGCUUUGACGGGUAGCCGGCCUGAGAGGGUGACCGGCCCCAUUGGGCCUGAGAUACGGCCCAGACUCCUACGGGAGGCAGCAGUGGGGAAUAUUGCACAAUGGGCGGAAGCCUGAUGCAGCAACGCCGCGUGCGGGAUGACGGCCUUCGGGUUGUAAACCGCUUUCGCCUGUGACGAAGCGUGAGUGACGGUAAUGGGUAAAGAAGCACCGGCUAACUACGUG
rnacentral:rRNA from 1 species